AGCCCGAUCCAGAAUUUGAGCAACUAGGUACCAACCAAGGCCACUCGCAAACUAAUUUGUCCUGAUCAAAGACCAAGUCAUACGGACAACGGAAUUCGAAAGCCAUCAUUUCUGGUCCACCUAUCAUAAAGUUCUUACGCAAAAAACCAACGACAAUUUCGUGGAUCAGCAUAGUAUCCUGGUUUAGGAGGACAUUGAAAUCUAACUUGAGGAGCAGGUGCCACUUCGCUGCUUCCAGGACAUGGAGAUCCUUGAGACAAAGAUCCUGGCCAAACACAAACUUCCGUACGCUCGUCGAAUGCCAAUCCAGCUGGACAAUCAAAUUCGAAGACCGAGAUGCACGAAGUAGCCUUGUCUUGUACAGAUAAAUUCAGUUUGGGUAUUUUCACGUACUGCACGAAUAUGUCCCUCGGUAUCAACUACUCGCACCACUCUAUAGCCAGACGAUUUUGCUUUAUUUGGGCGAUCUGGUGCAGUUACGUCGGCACGACGCGCCCGUGUAUACGAUCGGACUGUGCGAAGGGAAAGGAACUUUUUAGAAAAUUGCAUCGCUCAUAAAAAGGCUGCGGCUAACUUAAAAAGGAGACACUCACUCGUUUGUAGGCGUUUCUGAUGACUAGAGUCACCGCUCACAAUAUAAUAACUCUGCGUAAGACGGAUUUCAUUAAUUUGACGUACAUUAUAUCGGACCAUAUCGGAUAGAACAACUUUACAUUA